GAAGAUGCUAGUGCUGAUAGCUGAAAAAACUGCUGAAGCUGAUAGCCAGCUAAAAUAUUAGCUAAUGCCAAAUUAGCCUAAAAAGUAAAAAACUUUAGCUAAAACAGCUAGCAUGUAGCUGAAAUAUUAGUUAAACUCCAUAAUAGCCUUAAAAUCUGAAUAAAGACCAAAUAAUCCAAAAAGUUAGCAGAAUGCUAAUUUUUAAAUAUAAAACUGUAACUUUUUAACAUAAUUAUGAUAAUAAAAUCUAGGAAUGAAUCAACUUAAACCUUAAAUAACUUUCAAUAUUUUACUCUGCAUAGAAAAAUAUUUUGUCAAAAUUAUGCAAGAUAGAAAUGAGAGGAAGAUAAGAUCAUGUCAUUAAUAAUAAAAUAAAAUGAUCUGGAGGGCCGCAUCCGGCCCGCGGGCCUUGACUUUGACACGUGACCUAAAGAAAAAAAACAAAGUCUGAAAACCAAGACUACCAAGGUCCAACCCAAAACUAAAAGAACAAAACCCAGCAGCUGAGAACCAAGAAUAAUAUCAUUAUUAUAAUAAUGUCCCCGCCCACUUUGGUGUGGCCUCCUCUGUCUUAAAUCACCAGCAGGUGUAAAUCAGGACGUUUUCUCAUCAUCAGAUCAAAUCACUUCUGAUGUUUUUUAACGUUUAUUUCAAUAUUCUGUUCAGAUGAUCGGAGCAACAAACCACGACGUUCAGGAGACUCUAGAUAUUUCUCAACAAGAACAUGAAGCGUUUGUGUCUGACCAACAGCCUCAGUAUCAUCAGAUCUUUGGAAGCAGUCAGGACGUCAGAAAUGACCUGCAGAGAAGCCGGAAAAACUUUAUUGACACAAACCGUUCAGGACAAAAGGAACGGAGAAGAGGAGGAGCAGCAGGAGCUCCGCCUCAGCUGGGCGUGGCCUCCAUGGCAGACGAGCGUCCAGAAACAUCUGUGUUUAUCGUUUCAGAUGAGCUGCUCUUCAAGCGCUGCAUGAACCAGACGCAGCUCUGCUGCCAAGGGAACGUGACGCAGGACGCCGCCUUCUCGCUGUCCGUCCUCCAUGAUGGGCAGACGCUCCCAGCAGACGCAGCUGCAGUCGCAGACGCAGCUGCAGCUCAGGCCCAGGCCUUCACCUUGUCCAGGGUCGCCCCUCUGCAGGGGGCCGGGAGGUACGAGUGCCAGCUGCUCCUCGGAGGAGGUCUGAUGACGAAGAGCCUCCUCAUCCUCAAUGAGACCGAGGCCGGAGGGGGCGGAGCCAACACGACCUCCAGCCUUCCCUCUGUGGGCGUGAACCCGGAGCCGUGGCUGCUGUACGGGACGGUGCUGCUGGUCCCCGUGGCGGUGCUGCUGGUCCUGCUGACGGUGCAGAUGAGCAGCCGGCUGAAGGAACCUCCAGAGGAGGAGUGCUGAAGGAAUCUGUGGACCGACCGGUCAGUCUGAAACCAGGGGGGAGGAGCUUAACGUCCCGUUCUCCUCCUGAACCAGAUGAACUCUGACCUGUGAGACCUCUGACGGUCUCUGCUCUCAUCAAAGUGACUUCAGUUCCAGGAGGCAUCUUCACCCACGAGUCAGAAGCUCCAGCAGUAAACAUAAGAACGUUGUAAUGUUUCAAAAUUGUAAUGAGAAAAAUUAAAUUAUUAAGUCUACAUUUAAUGUGUUUAAACUCAAGAAUCCAUGUUUGUUUUUAUGUUUAUAAGAGAGAAAAAAGUAAAACAUCAAUAAAUGAACGAAUAAAAUAAUCCAAUAAAUGAUCCUUCAGUGAAGCAGCAUGGCGAGAACGAGACAGUAGACCCCGCCCACAUCGCCUCUCUCUGACCCUUCAGGAUGUUUUGAUUCGUUAAAAGUUUCUUAAACUUCACGUGUUUGAAUUUGCAGCAUGAACAGUUAAAUGUGUUUUCACCUAUACACAAUUUGAAUUAAAAACAUAUUUGUUUGUUAUUCUCUUAUGACUUUAAGUGUUAUGAUUUGAUAAGCCACGCCCAC
ensembl:lncRNA